AUGAGAAUACCAGUCAAGAGGCUUCAGCACUAUAUCGAUGCAGCGCACCAACGGAUGUUCUUUCCAGACAGAGAGAACGACGAGCUCACAAUGGCCCUCGGGAAUCCUGAGCACCCUGGACGGACACGAGGCACGCCAGGCUCCGUUCCGUGGAAGGCUGGUUUCCCGGACGCAGGCGGUUACAGAUGCCAGGAGAGGAGGAAAAAAGUGGAGCAUACCCAAAUUCAGAAGCUGCACGAAAGGGUUCAAGCGCUAGAGGAACGAGACGUAGCUCGCAGCAAUCGACCUGCCGAAACUACCCCCGAAGCUACCCGGCCAUCUCAGCGGAGAAGCAGCGUGGCUUCCACCGCGCUGCUUCAGCCGGAGCAUGUCUUGACGGCUCCUGCUAGCUACCCCGUGGAUGCUAUCACGGAGUCUCAACAUGGCCACCUUAUGACGCAAUGGGAGAACUUCAAAGUCAAGGCGGCUGUCGGCUCUGUUCGACCUCCUGAACCCGGCGCAACUUUUGACUGUCGUCCGAUUCCAGAAGGAUAUGCUAGGGUGACGGUGGACGAAAUAACGGAGGGAUUUGAGGACCUCCAGCUUGACCACCCUACCGGUGAAGGGGAGACUCGGCUGGGUUCUGCUCUAAAGACUCCAUGCCUAUGGCGGAAGGAGCUCAUCAACCUUCCGAACUGGACGCCUCCGGCGAGUAAGGGCACUCCGCCUCCUCCUUCGGCGAGUGAUCAGGGCACUCAGCCUCCUUCUCCGGCGUGUGGUGGCACUCCGCCUCCUCCUCCGGCGAGUGAUCAGGGCACUCAGCCUCCUUCUCCGGCGCGUGGCGGCACUCCGCCUGCGCCGGCGCGCCCGAGCAGCCAGCCUCCUCCUUCUCCGCCUCGGCAGCAAGGGCGGAAGAGACUCGCCGUCGCUCCGGCUGCUCCGGCGCGUCGUAGUCCUUCUCCUCCGCCUCGUAAGCAAGGAAAGAAGACAGCCGCAGCCGCUCUGUCUGCUCUACCGGCGUCUAGCAGUACAGCCAGAGGCGGGAGGCAAUACAGAUUCGGUCCUUCUCUGAAGACUCCAGAGAAGUUACCAUACGAGAGGACCGAGGAGGAAACCACGAAGAUCGUGCGAGCCGAAGUGACAAACUUCUUUGAAGGGGUGAAAGCAAAGAAACAUCCACCUCCGGAGGAGAAGGUAGAUCCGAUGAAAGUGAAGCGCACUCUGGCUGCCCUGACAAAACCACCAAAGUCUCCGCCGAAAGGCAACUAUGAGCGCAUUAUUGUAAAGACAUUUGUCGAAGCGGAGCAGUCGGGAAGUACUGUCAGUGAUCAAAGGUUAAAAGAACGACGAGCUGGGAAAAAAAUUUCCCAGCUCGGCGAACAAGUGAACCAAUCGUGCCCCCCGCUCAAGUUGUCUAGCGACAUCGUCGCUAAUGAUCCGAGGAUGGUGCCCGGUUAUAUCAAUCUUGGAGAUUACCUGCCCGACGAUGUACAUUAUGAUUUCUUGGAGGUGGACGAACACAAAUACCAUUACGGGAAGCCUCUCAUCAAAGAUGAAAGAUCUCUAACAACGAUGAUGCGAAGAUUACAUGAUUGGUACAUGAAAACCUGCAGAGAGUCAGGGGGAGGGAUACUUUGA
rnacentral:rRNA from 1 species